rnacentral:rRNA from 1 species
UACGUAGGCGGUUUAGUGUGUUAGAUGUGAAAUCCCAGAGCUCAACUUUGGAAUUGCAUUUAAAACUGCUAGACUUGAGUAUAAUAAGAGAUGGCGGAAUUUCUAGUGUAGGGGUGAAAUCCGUAGAUAUUAGAAGGAACACCAGAGGUGAAGACGGCUAUCUAGGUUAUUACUGACGCUAAGGUACGAAGGUGUGGGGAGCAAACAGGAUUAGAUACCCUGGUAGUCC